UCUGACUGGACUUGGUAGUGAACUCUUUGGCUUCAACCUUUACGGAACCCACCAGGGACUCCUCAUUAUAAUUUUAAUUUGCGCCUUCUGAGCCCUGUUGCUCCCCUAAUUCCUAGGGCACACAUCUCCUCUCUUUAUCAGAGCCAAGGGCACAAACCAUACAAGUGCUUCUUGAGGAAAAACUCUGCACCAUAGCACGACUGAAAAGUGAUUCUGUGGGACUUUCCCGAAAUCUCCUGACCCCAAAACCUUAGCAAGUAUUUGCGGUGUUACCGGUUCUUCCUUCAGCAUUGUUACUACAAGUCUCUUGUUCAUCUGCCUACUUAGGCCCUGGGGAUGAAAGACAUUUGGUUUUCCUCGUCACACUUUCUCUCCGCCCCGACAACUUUUCUCGGCGCUCUGCACCCUUGUCCCCAGAAGCUACCGUCCAGCUCCGAGGACACACAACCGUAGCUUGGAUGCAAAUUGCAUCUCGGGAUCACUCACCCCCAAAGUAUUUCUGCCUUUACCUCAAACUCUUUUGAGUUACUGGAAGUCUCACUUUGAGGUGUAGAAUCCAGACUCGGCGAGUUCGCUUUAGAAAUCUCGAGCUUCUCACCAUCAACUCAGUUCUGGGAGCUCUAGUGCAAGUCAGUUCGCCCCUCAGACCCACUAGCACCACCUUCCGUAGCGAGGAGCUUAUUACCGAGUCUUCCCCGCAAGAGCGCAGGAGCCCUUGCCACCAAGUUAAAAGUUCGGCCUGUUCCUUAGAAUAAAGAACAGUUAAGUCUCUCGGGGAGCUGGAGGCUCACAGCUAGACACCCUCUAAAAAAGGCCAGAGGAUUAUGCAAACAAUACGACCUGGA